rnacentral:rRNA from 1 species
UACGUAGGAUGCAAGCGUUGUCCGGAAUUAUUGGGCGUAAAGAGCUCGUAGGCGGUUUGUUGCGUCGGCUGUGAAAUCCCGAGGCUCAACCUCGGGUCUGCAGUCGAUACGAGCAAACUAGAGUGUUGCAGGGGAGACUGGAAUUCCUGGUGUAGCGGUGAAAUGCGCAGAUAUCAGGAGGAACACCGGUGGCGAAGGCGGGUCUCUGGGCAAUAACUGACGCUGAGGAGCGAAAGCGUGGGGAGCGAACAGG